rnacentral:misc_RNA from 1 species
UACGUAGGGUGCAAGCGUUACUCGGAAUCACUGGGCGUAAAGGGUGCGUAGGCGGCUUCUUAAGUUGGAUGUGAAAGCCCUCGGCUCAACCGAGGAACUGCGUCCAAGACUGGGAAGCUCGAGGAUGGUAGGGGAUAGUGGAACUCCAGGUGGAGCGGUGAAAUGCGUAGAGAUCUGGAGGAACGCCGGUGGCGAAAGCGACUAUCUGGGCCAUUCCUGACGCUGAGGCACGAAAGCCAGGGGAGCAAACGGG